rnacentral:sRNA from 1 species
CUUUUUUUCCUUUUUUUUU